rnacentral:rRNA from 1 species
UUUUUAGGACGUCGCGACCCGUUCGAUGUUGGUCGAAGGGUCAUAGUGAAGUUUGUUUCCCUUACAUUGGUUUUUCCGGUGUUUGUGGUGCAAUCCUGUGAUUUCCUGGCUAAUGUUGGACGGUAUGUCUUUUAAACCGGUUUACUUUAUGUAAUUGGUGGUCAGCGACGAAUAUUCGGUUCUCUUUCCGACCCGUCUUGAAACACGGACCAAGGAGUCUAACAUGUACGCGAGUCAUUGGGUUAUAUCGUAUAUUGAUAUUAAUUAAAAAACCUAUAGGCGUAAUGAAAGUAAAUUGCG